UACUUUAUAAAUGCUGCUGACAGAGAACUUAAAAAACACUCAAGUUCAUCUAUUUUCAUGGCCUAUUUAUCCAGCCUUAAAGCACAUAUGAACUUAUUUCUUGUUAAAAGUCAAUACCUCUCCUUUAUGUGAAUGUGGGGAAAUUUGUAUGUUUGCCACAAUAAGUGCGUUUGGUAAAAAGGAAAGCUCCUUGCGGGUGUAUGCUUUGAUAAAUCAAUCAUAAUGUCUACAGCAAACAUAUAUAUGUGGCUGCUCUGCCUAUGGUGUGUGUGUGUUCACUGCUGUAUGUGUUUGCAUUUAAAUGGGUUAAAUGCAGAGCACAAAUUCAGAGUAUGGGUCACUUCACACUUCACUAUAUUUGGUGUUUUUGUUGCACUAGCAAAUAAUGACCCUUGGAUUCAUCAGUAAAUUAACUUAAAACAGGACAUGGGGGCACGCAGCAUUUUAUUGCCCCAUCUGGUGAAAUAUGUUGACAAUGAUUAUUGACAACAGAUAUAAGAAAGAGUUGAUUUGUGACUUAUAUGUGUUGUUGUCAAAUGCUACCAUAAAUGUAUGAGGUUAAGGGCACAAUGGUUAUGAUUCACAGCUCACUCCUUACUGAGCCACUUAAACUACACCAUGCGACCUUAAAUUGUUAAAUAACCACCUAGUAAUUUUUUUUAAUCUAAUCAGGCUUAUUUAAGAUAAUCAUAACCAUUAUUUACUUUAAUUGUUCACUUUACAUAAUUGUAAUUCAGAAUAAAAAAAAAACUUAAAGCAUGAACUUAAAGGCCAUUUUCCCCACAACCUUGGUAUUGCCAGUGCAUUACUCUACUGUUUAAGAUACAGAAAUUCACUUUCUAAUGCAGUAGUGCAUUAUAUAAAUGCUCCAUACUUUACAAGUUAUCUCUCUUGGGAGGUUUUCUGAAUAUGAUCUGAGAGAACCAAAAGCUAUGUUCAUAUAACUCAAAAUGUUUUUUGGCAGGUUACCAGCUUCAAAGGAGGUGAUGAAAUUGUUCCUCCAGAUUUAGAAUAAGGAGAGUAUAAAUGUUUUCAUCUUUCUUUGUGUGAAAUAAACCUGACAUUUUUUACUGACAUAAACAAAAAAAAUACACUUAAAUCAUUAAUCAUAAUUAUUUUCAUUACAGUUAGCUGCCAUAGUGAAAUCAUUGCGAUAUACAGCCAUAUUAAACUGUAACAAAAUGUUUUUUCACUACAAAAACAGUUGUUGCACAAACACAUGAUGACUGUUUGUUUUGUAAGCAGUUCAUUUACAUGAACCUGUCUAAAUGAACCGGCUUAAUGAAUUGAACUUACCAAAGCUAUUUGAGAUAGACUGAGAGGAAGAUAGCAUAUAUGUAGCAAUGUAGGAAAAAAAGAAAAAUUGCGUUGAAUAGAAGAAGAAAAAAACGUAACCAUUUCCAUGCUUUGAAAAAUAAAUUUUAGUUAGUAGUAUUGGUAUGUAGUUACUGCAUCCAGAAACCUUUGCAGACUCUGCCUAAAAUCUGAGCAAGCAAUUCAUCACAGUUCUGAACUGUUCAGUGUUAAUUCUAUAGCUACACCAUGCUGAGGAGGCCAGUAACAAAUGAAAGUGGACUUUUGGUGAAGCUUGGGACCCUGUGACUUAAGUGAAACUCAAGCUGAUAGAGAAAGAGAUGAAGAAACAGGAGAUUCUGAUUCAGGGUUACCAUCAGGUUCGGCGUAAAAACACAUCUGAAACUUCUUUCUGAUGAUUUUAACAAUAAAGGAGAAUGAGAAGCUUUAUCUGCAAAUGAAAGCGCUCCAAGCUCAAAGCAAACAAAACGAGGAGGCUUUGUUCAUGGAGAACCAGAGACUUCUCACUGAGCUGGCCUUCACCAGCUGUUAUAAAAGCAAUGCAUACUCAAUUCCCAGGGACCAACUGAACAUGAAGAUUAUUCAAAGAACCAUCGGAGGGAGAAGCAUUUCUGACCAAAGCUUCAACAUUGCAGAGUUGACCAGUCAGCAAAAAAGGAGCAGCGACUGCAAGACAAGAUCCGCUGGCUAAAACAAGCCCUGCAUGUAGACAUGGAGAUGGUGAGGAAAGGGCGAGACUCUACAUCAAGUAGAACUUCAGUUUUGGAAGUGUUAUGCGGUAGUCCAUUUUCAGUGAUGUAAUUGUCAUCUUGAUGCCAACAAUCAUCUGGAUGUAUCUGCCAGGUGAUAAAGGUUUCGAACUAAAGAUGCUCCAGGAGAAACAUCGGGAGGAAGUCACAGAGCUGAAGAAGAGACUGUAGUGGUAUGCUGAGAACCAGGAACUACUAGACAAAGAUGCAGCCAGACUCUGAGCUGCCACCGCUGAGAAGGUGGAAAAGCUAAAAAUGGAGGUCAGCAGGAGAGCCAAUGAGCAACAAAGAAAGGCAAAAGAGAGAGCGAGCGAAGCUAAAAGAAUCCAGACCUGGAACGACAGGUCAAACACAGCCUCUCCACAUAUUUUUGUUGUCUCAUUCUGCAGGUACUGCUCAUUCGGGGCACGUUCUUUUUGUGCUCUAUUUCCUGAGGUGGAAUUAUCCAACCGUGUCUGUGAGUAACAGACCAUCUGCCUGAAUAGUCAGCUUUCCAAGCACUUUCUGCUUGCCACAUCCUCUUCAUGUUACAACUCCUUUCUUAGACAGAUAUGGAUCAUCUGGAUGACUAAAUUAGUAGCUUUGUAUACAACUGGCUCAACGCUCAAGCAGAUGGAAGAGCUCUUGAGACGCAGUCAUCCAAACUCCCUGCCAUCCCUGAUCUUGGCCGCUUCAUCUACCGCCACAGAAAAUAAUGGAUGAGAUGUUUGUCCCCCAACUGCCCCUCAUUCCAACCAGACAGCAGCUCUGUGGAGAGACAUGUCCAUCAAUUGGUGGCGGAGCUAGAAGGCUGCAAUGAAGCAGCCACACACAGGCUCAGAACCAUGGAACAACAGUAUCACAGAAUCAAAGUGCUCAUUUCAGAUUCAGUAUUGAAUAGAGCAAAAGGAAUUUAGUUUAAAAGCACUGACUGUUCAGUCAAUAGUACAAUAUAUAGGAUCAAAACAAGUUUGAACUAUUGGGACAUGGUGCCCCAGAGCCCACGGACUGAAGGACACUGUUUCCGUUCUUAAUUAGUAAUGGAAAAAAACACUCAAACUACUUCUCUUUUUUCCAAGCAUGUUUUUUUACCAGAGCUCACAGGUGGAUCAAUCUAUUUCUGGCAAAUAAGUUUGCAGAGAAAAUUAGGUUUCUAUUUAAAGUCCCAAGUGGACAGGGCUUUGAGUGUGCUGUAAGAAUGGCAUCAUUUCCCGCUGUUUGUCCAUAUGAAUGGUGGAAAUAGAAACUGCCAUGAGAACGGCAUAUAAGACUUGGCGAUAAAUUGCAUAAUUACUAUGUAUCUGCUGAUUUAAACUACUGUUCAAAGGUUCAGGGACAUUACCCAAGCGGCAUUUGGGCACAGCCAAAAAAACUUUCCCGGCUACCCAAGAUGAGUAAGACUACCAAAAUGUCUCAAUUCAGAAGCAGAAUUCUGAGCAGCUAACUUCGGUCAAGGCUUGGCAUCAUAAAGAGAUUGAACACCUUUUGGCUUGCCAUGCCCUUGAGCAUUCCUCCUCCUCUGUCACUGAACUCACCAAUCAAGUGAACACACAGGAGGUCGGUCACUCCAACAGUUCUGUUUAUAUGGCUUUGCACAUCAAUUUGGUGCUAAUUGUUGCCUUGGCAUGGUACUCGAAACAUCAGGCCACGGAUCACAGUGCAGCAUUUACAGGGGCUAGUAAAGGAGCUCCAGAGAGCCAAAGAUGCUCUGGCUGUGUCUAAGAUCAGAGAGGAAACCCUGCAAAAUCAGGUUAUUGCAGACACAAGGCGAGUGGUGGAACAGGAGCAGCCGGGUGAGGUGAAGCGCUGGAAGAGACUCGCUGUAGUCAGUCCCGUCCAUGAACACAGCCACACAUACCUGCCCCUCCGAUCCUGAGCUGUGUUUGCCCCUCUCAGAACAGUCCAGGAUGUGCGCAUACAUAUUUCUAUGACUCUGGCUGGCAGAAUUCCUGUGACAGCACUAAUCAUUGUUCGGCUAAUUUUGUGGAAAUAUUUAUAAUUAUAUAUUGUAAAGAUUAUUUCAUUAUUGUCAAGGAACAUGCAGGGUGUGUAACAUCAAAUUUGGCGUUAGUAAUUGCAGCACAUAUCCCAAUGUUAUUUUGUAUUAAAGUUAAUUAUUAUUUGGA